rnacentral:piRNA from 1 species
UGAAUAGCGUGAUUCUCUGGCUGCU